rnacentral:tRNA from 1 species
GGGAAAGUAACUCAGUGGUAGAGUAUCUGUUUUGCACUCAGGAAGUCAACGGUUCGAUUCCGUUUUUUUCCA